rnacentral:rRNA from 1 species
UACAGAGGUCUCAAGCGUUUGUUUCGGAUUCAUUGGGCGUAAAGGGUGCGUAGGUGGCGCCAUAAGUCAGGUGUGAAAUCUCGGGCUUAACUCCGAAACUGCAUUUGAUACUGUGGUGCUUGAGGACUGGAGAGGAGACUGGAAUUCACGGUGUAGCAGUGAAAUGGCGUAGAUAUCGUGGAGGAAGACCAGUGGGCGAAGGCGGGUC